rnacentral:rRNA from 1 species
UCGGGUUGUAAAGCACUUUUGUCCGGAAAGAAAACUUCUGCCCUAAUACGGUGGGAGGAUGACGGUACCGGAAGAAUAAGCACCGGCUAACUACGUGCCAGCAGCCGCGGUAAUACGUAGGGUGCGAGCGUUAAUCGGAAUUACUGGGCGUAAAGCGUGCGCAGGCGGUUCGUUAAGACAGAUGUGAAAUCCCCGGGCUCAGCCUGGGAACUGCAUUCGUGACUGGCAGGCUAGAGUAUGGCAGAGGGGGGUGGAAUUCCACGUGUAGCAGUGAAAUGCGUAGAGAUGUGGAGGAACACCGAUGGCGAAGGCAGCCCCCUGGGCCAAUACUGACGCUCAUGCACGAAAGCGUGGGGAGCAAACAGGAUUAGAUACCCUGGUAGUCCACGCCCUAAACGAUGUCAACUAGUUGUUGGGGAUUCAUUUCCUUAGUAACGUAGCUAACGCGUGAAGUUGACCGCCUGGGGAGUACGGUCGCAAGAUUAAAACUCAAAGGAAUUGACGGGGACCCGCACAAGCGGUGGAUGAUGUGGAUUAAUUCGAUGCAACGCGAAAAACCUUACCUACCCUUGACAUGUACGGAACCCUGCUG